GAUGAACGCUGGCGGCGUGCCUCAAACAUGCAAGUCGAGCGGGGCUAUGUAAUAUCGCAAGGUAGAACAUAGCCUAGCGGCGAACGGGUGAGUAACACGUGGGUAACCUGCCUGGAAGACAGGGAUAACGAUUCGAAAGGGUCGCUAAUACCUGAUAAUAUCCUUUCAUCGCAUGGUGAUAGGAAGAAAGGGGAAACCCGCUUUCAGAUGGGCCCGCGUCCCAUCAGCUAGUUGGUAAGGUAAAGGCUUACCAAGGCGACGACGGGUAGCCGGUCUGAGAGGAUGUACGGCCACACUGGGACUGAGAUACGGCCCAGACUCCUACGGGAGGCAGCAGUUGGGAAUCUUAGGCAAUGGACGAAAGUCUGACCUAGCGACGCCGCGUGAGGGAAGAAGGCCUUCGGGUUGUAAACCUCUGUCAUGGGGGAAGAAGGAAGUGACGGUACCCCAAGAGGAGGCCCCCUGCUAACUACGUG
rnacentral:rRNA from 1 species